AGAUACCAUAGUGAGAAAGGAUUCAUUUCGCAACACCUACGGCUUCCACUAGAUGUCAACGAUCUUUAUAAAGUUGUUUGAAGCGUCUAUGAUAAACAGAGAGAAAAUUAGAAUCCAAGGAAGUUGACAUGUCAUCACUUCAUUUUUUUGCGCCUGCGCAUAAAUCUGAGAGACGUGAGUUUGUCAUCAUUUUUUAUCUAGACAUAGGAUAGGUUGUGUGAAAAUAUUACUGAUGUUUAACGUUAAAAAUGGACCAAAAGAUUAAUGCUAAACAACAUUUGACAUGUUUGAACGAACAUAAAUAGAUUAUUUACUAGGUUUUUUAGCUUUUCGGCGUGAUUUUACCAGCCCCACACCACGUUUUGUGGGAGCAUAAUGAACGCUAAGUACUUGGUGUUAUUUGGACAUAAAUUAUGAACUUUGUCAAAAGAAACCACAUUUGUUCCGGACCUGGAAUGCCUUCCGGACCUGGGAUCCUGCCUUCUGAUGGAGAUAAUCAAAGAGUGCGAGCUGAUCAAGGGGUCAAAUGUAGAUAUUGCCAGAUGUUCACUGUCCAAGGAACAGGCCAUAGAAGCUUUAUUGCUGGCAAAAGUGUCCAUAACCAGAGGCAACAGCUCUACAAGGCAUUGAGGGGAAAAAUCAACACAACAAAAAGAGCGGUGAGCAAAGGCCUUCUCUCCUUCCACUUCUUUCCAGAUGCCGCUGUGCCGGAGUAUCCAAAGUCACAGGUUAUGACCUCACAGGCCCUUGAGGAGAAGAGAGAGAAAAAGAGGCGGCAGUGAAAACACAGGUGCGUUGGGAACACUCCAGAAGUUUCCCGGGCACAGUUCUUAAAAUGCUGCUCCACUGCCGAAGAGCAUCCAGGAGCCCAAUAAAAUAAAAUAAAAACAACUGGGGAGCUUUUAAGAGCGGUGCCGCUCAGCCAAAGAAAAGCAGCACAUGGAAUGUCUCGGGUGAAACCGUGUAGCAAGUUUUAUUGCAGUAAGAGGCAUUUUGAAAUAUAGCGAGGGGACCUUUUACGCAGUGUGCAAAGUCAAACAGAUACAGUGAGCCCGCACGAUAAAUGUGCAUAUGCAGGAACAUAAACACUUGGUUUAUACUGGAGUGAUAACCUAAUGUAGGGAUGAAAAACCUACAGUGAGCGGAG
rnacentral:lncRNA from 1 species